GGUCUUGUGGCCAAAUGGAAAGGCGUCUGACUACGAAUCAGAAGAUUGCGAGUUCGAUCCUCGUCAAGACCU
rnacentral:tRNA from 1 species